UCCAAAUCAACCUCCUUCAUACAUACUAAGCCUUAGAUACAAUGCCUGUUGAGCUUGUUGAGCUUCUUCUCAGUUUCAAGGGCCUGGUGGGUGGUAGGGGCUGUGUGGUGGACUGUAUGGACUUUUAUAUAUUUUGGGGCUGGGUGGUGGAUAGUGUGGGCUUUUAUAUAUUUUGGGGCUGGGUGGUGGACUGUAUGGGCUUUUAUAUAUUUUGGGGCUGGGUGGUGGAUUGUGUGGCCUUUUAUAUAUUUUGGGGCUGGGAGGUGGAAUGCGUGGGCUUUUAUAUAUUUUGGGGCUGGGUGGUGGACUGUGUGGGCUUUUAUAUAUUUUGGGGCUGGGUGGUGGAUUGUGUGGGCUUUUAUAUAUUUUGGGGCUGGGAGGUGCAAUGUGUGGGCUUUUAUAUAUUUUGGGGCUGGGAGGUGGAAUGUGUGGGCUUUUAUAUAUUUUGGGGCUGGGUGGACUUUUAUGCAUUCUUUUACAGUCCCUUGAUCCGGGAUUGCACAUGCUUGUAGAUGGUGGAUCAGGUAAAUUCCCUGCUAUAAAGCCCACCUUAUCGCUACUCAUUUCU
rnacentral:lncRNA from 1 species